AUUGAACGCUGGCGGCAUGCUUUACACAUGCAAGUCGAACGGUAACAGGUUAAGCUGACGAGUGGCGAACGGGUGAGUAAUGCAUCGGAACGUGCCCGAUCGUGGGGGAUAACGCAGCGAAAGCUGCGCUAAUACCGCAUACGAUCUGAGGAUGAAAGCGGGGGACCGUAAGGCCUCGCGCGAUCGGAGCGGCCGAUGUCAGAUUAGGUAGUUGGUGGGGUAAAGGCCCACCAAGCCGACGAUCUGUAGCUGGUCUGAGAGGACGACCAGCCACACUGGGACUGAGACACGGCCCAGACUCCUACGGGAGGCAGAAGUGGGGAAUUUUGGACAAUGGGCGAAAGCCUGAUCCAGCAAUGCCGCGUGCAGGAAGAAGGCCUUCGGGUUGUAAACUGCUUUUGUACGGAGCGAAAAGGUCCUUUCUAAUACAAGGGGCUCAUGACGGUACCGUAAGAAUAAGCACCGGCUAACUACGUGCCAGCAGCCGCCGUAA
rnacentral:rRNA from 1 species